AAGAUCAUACUUUUAGGGAUCAUUUCUAUAGUGUGUUUCUUCUCUCACGAAUGCACAUUAGACCAACAUACGCGAACCACGAUGAUGAGUCGCAGUGUUCCUCUCUGAGCGCGAAGCGGAUCCGAGGCGUCACCCUCUUGAGGCUGUCUUGCUGAGGAUCAUUGAUGAACGUUCCUCCUUCCCGUUAGAGGCAGUUGGAGGAGAGGAACACAUUCUGAGUGGU